UCCAGGCAAUGGACAAUGUCUGCAUCAUCUGC
rnacentral:piRNA from 1 species